rnacentral:rRNA from 1 species
CGCUGGCGGCGUGCCUAACACAUGCAAGUCGAGCGAGGAGAUUCCUUCGGGAUGAUCCUAGCGGCGGACGGGUAGAGUAACACGUGGGCAACCUGCCUCAUAGAGAGGAAUAGCCUUCCGAAGGGAGAUUAAUACCUCAUAACAUUGCAGUUUCGCAUGGAACAGCAAUUAAAGGAGUAAUCCGCUAUGAGAUGGGCCCGCGGCGCAUUAGCUAGUUGGUGAGGUAACGGCUCACCAAGGCGACGAUGCGUAGCCGACCUGAGAGGGUGAUCGGCCACAUUGGGACUGAGACACGGCCCAGACUCCUACGGGAGGCAGCAGUGGGGAAUAUUGCACAAUGGGGGGAAACCCUGAUGCAAGCAACGCCGCGUGAGUGAUGACGGCCUUCGGGUUGUAAAGCUCUGUCUUCAGGGACGAUAAUGACGGUACCUGAGGAGGAAGCCACGGCUAACUACGUGCCAGCAGCCGC